UGAGUAGGACGAGCGGUCGCGGGUGUCUACGUGGCGCCCGAGGAAAGUCCGAGCUCCUCGAGGCAGGGUGCUGGGUAACGCCCAGUGGAAGUGAUUCCAAGGAAAGUGCCACAGAAAAAAUACCGCCUAAGCCACGUGCGAGCGUGGACGGCAAGGGUGAAAAGGUGAGGUAAAAGCUCACCAGUACCGCUGGAGACGGUGGUAGCUUGGUAAACCCCACCCGGUGAAAGACCAAAUAGGAGAGGAGAAGACGCCUCGCUUCGUUUGACUCUCGGGUUGGUCGCUUGAGGUGCUUGGUAACAGGCAUCCCAGAUAAAUGACCGCUAACCCCUUUGGGGUACAGAACUCGGCUUACGGCCUGCUCAAUUC
rnacentral:RNase_P_RNA from 1 species